UUGACCUCGAAUCUGAUAGGACUACCCGCUGAACUUA
rnacentral:rRNA from 2 species